rnacentral:rRNA from 1 species
UACAGAGGGGGGCAAGCGUUGUUCGGAAUUACUGGGCGUAAAGGGCGCGUAGGUGGCCUUCUAAGUCGAACGUGAAAUCCCUGGGCUCAACCCAGGAACUGCGUCCGAGACUGGGAGGCUUGAAUCCGGGAGAGGGAUGUGGAAUUCCAGGUGUAGCGGUGAAAUGCGUAGAUAUCUGGAGGAACACCGGUGGCGAAGGCGGCAUCCUGGACCGGUAUUGACGCUGAGGCGCGAAAGCCAGGGGAGCAAACGGG